UUGGCCGUGGGGGAACCUGACCGCAAUGCCGCGUGUGUGAAGAAGGCCUGAGGGUUGUAAAGCACUUUAGGUGGGGAGGAUGGUAGAGCAGGUUAAGAGCUAGUUUUAUUGACGUUACCCGCAGAAUAAGCGCCGGCUAACUCCGUGCCAGCAGCCGCGGUAAUACGGAGGGUGCAAGCGUUAAUCGGAAUUACUGGGCGUAAAGAGUGCGUAGGCGGUUAGGUAAGUUAUCUGUGAAAUCCCUGGGCUUAACCUAGGUGGGAAAGAUAAAACUGCUUGACUAGAGUGUGGUAGAGGAUAGUGGAAUUUCCGGUGUAGCGGUGAAAUGCGUAGAGAUCGGAAGGAACACCAGUGGCGAAGGCGGCUAUCUGGACCAACACUGACGCUGAGGCACGAAA
rnacentral:rRNA from 1 species